GAAAAGUAGGGAUUAAGGUAAUAUUAAGGACGAAAAUAGAAGGAAAAAAUAGGUAAAGGUGAAAGAAUUGCUUGUUUUAUUCAGGGGGCCUAGGCGGGGAACAGUGAGCAAAUUCCAGCUAACUGGAAAGGGUGAGAAACCCCAGUGUUUACAUUUCAGAUUCCGACAGAGGAGUCUAUCAGAAUCUAACUACUUGCAGAAUCUGAGAGAGUAAAGGAGGCUACGUGAGCUGCUCUCUGUUCUACCGGUUCCCUCUCCCAGAGAACUCGAGUCUGGCCCAAAGGAAGGUUAUAAACCGAAUGGGGGUGGGGAUGGGAGGAACGUGGGUCAGGAAAUGGGCCUUCGGGAGUGGCCGAGGGAUUAUUCCCUUUGAUCAAUCUGUUCCGGGAUUCCGAAUAACCCCCAAAAGGGAGAGCGCCUUGGUAGGGAGGGGGUUCCGGAAUGGUCCCUGUCCGCACCCAAUCUCGACUGCUAAGCGGCCUAAGGACCGCCAAAACCCCCUGGGCACCGGUUUGAGCACUAACGUGAGGCGCCGGUACCCCUCCCUGAGGGCCUCGGCGAGAACCACUCCGCCACCCGCAGCCGGGCAGGAAACGCAACCCUGAGCACGCCGUGAAACCAGAAAACACUACUGCCCAGGGGCCCGCAGCGCUCGGGAUCUCCGCCCCCGCCGUGCGCGCGCGCGCACGCCCCUCUCCCCCUGGACUGCCGUCGGAGGGAGCCGCGACCCGUGGCAGCUUCCGCGCCAGCAAGUUCCAGUUCCUUGCUCCACGGGGGAAGAAACUGUCCUCAGGUCCGGCGGCGGAGAAGGAAAGGUCCACUCUCUCUCCGAGGCCUGCAAAGGCGGGAAAGGCCCAAGGCCGCAGGGGGGUAUAGAAGUCGUUAUGCCAGUUUCCGUCGGUGGAUUCAGCCCCAUAUUUCUGCGGUGGUGAUGGUUGUCAAGGCCGACUCUAAAACUCAUGCCCUUGUCUGCGCUUUUGCAGUGGAGAUGCUUGUAUGGAGACAGCAGCAACGUGGCCAUCUAUGGAAAUGCCCUUUCUGGGGUCAACAGGUGCUCCUGGGGAGCAUCGAUUUUCAGACUUCUCCUGUUGCACCCCGAAUCCCAACCUUCUCCCAGAGCCAAACAAAGGCAUGAGGAGGCUGAGGAGGUACAGAAAAUGCCGAGCUGGCCCGAACCCGGCGGCACCGCCUCGCUCAGCUGCCUUGAGGCAAUAGGACCCGGUCGCGAAGAUGCCUAGGCUGGCGCUUAUGGCUACCCGCUGCGCAAAAGGGGGAGGGGGGCUGUGACUGAGGCUCCCCGGCGCCCUCCGUUCGUCACUGAGCACAGCCAAGUUUCCUUGUGAUGGGUGUGGGCGAUUAAUAAACUUAAAGGAAGUGAAUUGGA